ACAUCCCUAUUCACCUUUAUCGGUCAACAAAAAACAAUCAACAUGGCAUCCGAUCAGAUCCGUCAAAUGGUAAACUUCAUCCUUCAGGAGGCGCACGAGAAGGCUAACGAAAUCCGCGUGAAGACCGAGCACGACUUCAACC
rnacentral:ribozyme from 1 species